GUGCUUGCUUCAGCAGCACAUAUAUUAAAGUUGGAACAAUACAGCGAAGAUCUGCAUGACCCCUGAGCAAGGAUGAAAUGCAAAUUCAUGAAACAUUCCACAUUAAA